UGCAAGUCGAGCGGAAACGAUGAUAGCUUGCUAUCAGGCGUCGAGCGGCGGACGGGUGAGUAAUACUUAGGAAUCUACCUAGUAGUGGGGGAUAGCUCGGGGAAACUCGAAUUAAUACCGCAUACGACCUACGGGAGAAAGGGGGCAACUUGUUGCUCUCGCUAUUAGAUGAGCCUAAGUCGGAUUAGCUAGAUGGUGGGGUAAAGGCCUACCAUGGCGACGAUCUGUAGCUGGUCUGAGAGGAUGAUCAGCCACACCGGGACUGAGACACGGCCCGGACUCCUACGGGAGGCAGCAGUGGGGAAUAUUGGACAAUGGGGGCAACCCUGAUCCAGCCAUGCCGCGUGUGUGAAGAAGGCCUUUUGGUUGUAAAGCACUUUAAGCAGUGAAGAAGACUCCAUGGUUAAUACCCAUGGACGAUGACAUUAGCUGCAGAAUAAGCACCGGCUAACUCUGUGCCAGCAGCCGCGGUAAUACAGAGGGUGCAAGCGUUAAUCGGAAUUACUGGGCGUAAAGCGAGCGUAGGUGGCUUGAUAAGUCAGAUGUGAAAUCCCCGGGCUUAACCUGGGAACUGCAUCUGAUACUGUUAGGCUAGAAUAGGUGAGAGGAAGGUAGAAUUCCAGGUGUAGCGGUGAAAUGCGUAGAGAUCUGGAGGAAUACCGAUGGCGAAGGCAGCCUUCUGGCAUCAUAUUGACACUGAGGUUCGAAAGCGUGGGUAGCAAACAGGAUUAGAUACCCUGGUAGUCCACGCCGUAAACGAUGUCUACUAGUCGUUGGGUCCCUUGAGGACUUAGUGACGCAGCUAACGCAAUAAGUAGACCGCCUGGGGGAGUACGGCCGCAAGUUAAAACUCAAAUGAAUUGACGGGGCCCGCACAAGCGGUGGAGCAUGUGUUUAAUUCGAUGCACGCGAGAACUUACCUGGUCUUGACAUAUCUAGAUCUUGCAAAAAUGCGGGAGUGCCUCGGAAUAGAAUACAGUGCUGCAUGGCUGUCGUCAGCUCGUUCUGAAUGUGGGUUAGUCCGCACAGCCCACCUUGUCCUUAGUUACCACGGGUUAAGCCGGAACCUCUA
rnacentral:rRNA from 1 species